AUCUGUGUUAGUGAGCACUUCUCCUUUGCAGAGAUAAUCCAUCCUCCUCACAGGUGUGGCAUAUCAAGAUGCUGAUUAGACAGCAUAAUUUUUGAAAAGGUGUGCCUUAGGCUGGCCACAAUAAAAGGCCACUCUAAAAUGUUGUCUAAUCAGCAUCUUGAUAUGCCACAGCUGUGACGUGGAUGGAUUAUCUUGGCAAAGGAGAAGUGCUCACUAACACAGAU